rnacentral:rRNA from 1 species
UAGGGAAUCUUCGGCAAUGGACGGAAGUCUGACCGAGCAACGCCGCGUGAGUGAAGAAGGUUUUCGGAUCGUAAAGCUCUGUUGUAAGAGAAGAACGAGUGUGAGAGUGGAAAGUUCACACUGUGACGGUAUCUUACCAGAAAGGGACGGCUAACUACGUGCCAGCAGCCGCGGUAAUACGUAGGUCCCGAGCGUUGUCCGGAUUUAUUGGGCGUAAAGCGAGCGCAGGCGGUUAGAUAAGUCUGAAGUUAAAGGCUGUGGCUUAACCAUAGUACGCUUUGGAAACUGUUUAACUUGAGUGCAAGAGGGGAGAGUGGAAUUCCAUGUGUAGCGGUGAAAUACGUAGAUAUAUGGAGGAACACCGGUGGCGAAAGCGGCUCUCUGGCUUGUAACUGACGCUGAGGCUCGAAAGCGUGGGGAGCAAACAGGAUUAGAUACCCUGGUAGUCCACGCCGUAAACGAUGAGUGCUAGGUGUUAGACCCUUUCCGGGGUUUAGUGCCGCAGCUAACGCAUUAAGCACUCCGCCUGGGGAGUACGACCGCAAGGUUG